GUACUCUCAAGCUCUGCUUGGUGUUGGGUGCUUGUCCUGUCCCCUGCGGUAGGACUCGCCUAAAAGUAAUUGGCAGCUAGGUAUCCGGUAGUAGAGCGCAGCACAAAUUGCGAUGUACGCCGGCAUAAUCAGCAUCCAUUAAGCAUAUAAACAC
rnacentral:misc_RNA from 1 species